AUCAGCUGAGGGAGGAAACAAAGCAGUGGGUAGGCAGUGCAGAUGGCUGGCGUCUGUUUCAGAAACAACACACACCAGACAGAAUCUACGGUAAGAACAUAGACUGAGACCUUGACCGUGAAUCCUGAAUUGGUAGAGAAGCGCUCAAGUCUGUGAGCAGAGAGUGAACAGAAGCAGAAGAGGAAGAGAACUCGGAGGAAUGUUUGGGUGAGUUGUUGGCUGCUGCAACUUCAGCUCUGAUAUAGUAGAUCAGACAACCGUGAGGGAGGCCCUGGAAGGAAGCCAAGGAAGCAACUGAUGGCAUCAAGAGACAUGCAUUUGGUUCUCAGCAUAUAUACAUCCCCUACCACCAGUGCUCAUUUUUGUUUUGUUUUGUUUUAACUAGGUAAAAAAGCUACUUCACAAGUAUGCAAUAAUGACAAAUGCAGUAGUUCCCUAGAACAUAAAAUACUAAUUUUCAACUCUGUGUGGACGGCUCCCCAGUUUAAAUCAUUUUAUACGAGUGGAAGAACUUUAUUAGGUCACCAAAGACUUAAUUACCUUGUACUGCAGUUUUUGCAGAUCGGAAGAGCACACAUCU